rnacentral:rRNA from 1 species
CUACACGAAGCUGGAAUCGCUAGUAAUCGCGAAUCAGAAUGUCGCGGUGAAUACGUUCCCGGGUCUUGUACACACCGCCCGUCACGCCAUGGGAGUCGGGAAUGCCCGAAGCCGGUGACCUAACCGAAAGGAAGGAGCCGUCGAAGGCAGGUCUGAUAACUGGGGUGAAGUCGUAACAAGGUAAC